rnacentral:rRNA from 1 species
AUUGAACGCUGGCGGCAUGCUUUACACAUGCAAGUCGAACGGCAGCGCGGGCUUCGGCCUGGCGGCGAGUGUCGAACGGGGGAGUAAUGCAUCUGAACGUGCCCAGUAGUGGGGGGUAGCCCGUCGAAAGCCGGAUUAAUACCGCAUACGACCUGAGGGUGAAAGCGGGGGACCGAAAGGCCUCGCGCUAUUGGAGCGGCCGAUGUCGGAUUAGCUAGUUGGUGGGGUAAAGGCUUACCAAGGCGACGAUCCGUAGCUGGUCUGAGAGGACGACCAGCCACACUGGGACUGAGACACGGCCCAGACUCCUACGGGAGGCAGCAGUGGGGAAUUUUGGACAAUGGGGGCAACCCUGAUCCAGCCAUGCCGCGUGCGGGAAGAAGGCCUUCGGGUUGUAAACCGCUUUUGUUCGGGAAGAAAUCCUCUGGGCUAAUACCCCGGGGGGAUGACGGUACCGGAAGAAUAAGCACCGGCUAACUACGUG